rnacentral:hammerhead_ribozyme from 1 species
AUCCAGCUGACGAGUCCCAAAUAGGACGAGAGGCGCGUCGUGGAU